rnacentral:rRNA from 1 species
UACGAGCGGCCCAAACGUUAUUCGGAUUUACUGGGCUUAAAGAGUUCGUAGGCGGCGCGGAAAGUAGGGUGUGAAAGCCCUCGGCUCAACCGAGGAAUUGCGCCCUAAACUGUCGCGCUCGAGGAACCUAGAGGUGAGCAGAACUGAUGGUGGAGCGGUGAAAUGCGUUGAUAUCAUCAGGAAUACCGGAGGCGAAGGCGGCUCACUGGGGGUUAUCUGACGCUGAGGAACGAAAGCCAGGGGAGCAAACGGG